rnacentral:rRNA from 1 species
CAAUUUUCUAUCUAAAUGUCUUGACCAAGUCACGUGCCAGCAGUCGCGGUAAUACGUGGAAGACUAGUGUUAUUCAUCUUUAAUAGGUUUAAAGGGUACCUAGACGGUAUUUCUAGCCCCAAAAGGGUACGGAUUUACUAGAGUUUUAUGUGAGAGGCAAAUAUUAGUACUAUUGGUGUAGAGAUGAAAUUCUUUGAUACUACUAGGACUGGUGGCGGCGAAAGCAACCCUCUAAGUAUAAACUGACGUUGAGGGACGAAGGCUUGGGUAGCGAAUAGGAUUAGAUACCCUAGUAGUCCAGGCAGAAAAUUAUGAGUGCCAUAGACUAGAUUAAAUAAUUUUGGUCUAUAAAUGAAAGUGUAAGCAUUCCACCUCAAGAGUAAUGUGGCAACGCAGGAACUGAAAUCAUUAGACCGUUUCUGAAACCAGUAGUGAAGUAUGUUAUUUAAUUCGAUAACCCUCGAAAAACCUUACCACAAUUUGAAUGUAAUACAUGAAGUAGUCUAAUAAUUGUCUAGUCAACAAUUCUAUGACAUGAAGUAGUCUAAUAAUUGUCUACUCAACUAUUUCAUGUAUUAACACAAGCGUUGCACGGCUGUCUUCAGUUAAUGUCGUGAGAACUUGGUUAGAUCCAUUAAAUUAACGUAAUCCCUUUCGUUAGUUCUCUGAACUAAWGAAGUUCACCGCUAUAU